AGGUCGAAAUAAGUUGGUGUAACGACAGGUUUACCAGUCCAGGACGUUGAUAAACGAGGGCCAGUGAAGUGUAUACGGCUCAGUAUAGGGGGGAAUUGGGGCCGCUUAGAUGCAAACUCGAGCGGCCACCAGUAUGAUGGAUAUCAGCAAAAUUCGCCCUAGAGUUUGAUCAUGGCUCAGGAUGAACGCUAGCGGUAUCCUUAACACAUGCAAGUCGUACGGAAAAGAAAUUUUUAGUGGCGAACGGGUGCGUAACACGUGAGAAUCUGCCUUUAGGAAGGGGAUAACAUUUAGAAACAUUUGCUAAUACCCUAUAUGCUUUACGGUGAAAGAAUUUAUUCGCCUAAAGAGGAGCUCGCGUCUGAUUAGCUAGUUGGUAGGGUAAAGGCCUACCAAGGCGACGAUCAGUAGUUGGUCUGAGAGGACGGCCAGCCACAUUGGAACUGAGACACGGUCCAGACUCUUACGGGAGGCAGCAGUGAGGAAUUUUCUGCAAUGGGCGCAAGCCUGACAGAGCAAUACCGCGUGAGGGAUGACUGCCUACGGGUUGUAAACCUCUUUUCUCAAGGAGGAAGAUAUGACGUUACUUGAGGAAUAAGCAUCGGCUAACCCUGUGCCAGCAGCCGCGGUAAUACAGGGGAUGCAAGUGUUAUCCGGAAUUAUUGGGCGUAAAGCGUCUGCAGGUUGAUCUAUAAGUCUUUUGUUAAAUCUUCGGGCUCAACCCGAAAGCCGCAAAAGAAACUAUUUAUCUUGAGUAUGGUAGAGGUAAGGGGAAUUUCGAGUGGAGCGGUGAAAUGCGUAGAUAUUCGAAAGAACACCAAUAGCGAAGGCACCUUACUGGGCCAUUACUGACACUCAGAGACGAAAGCUAGGGUAGCAAACGGGAUUAGAUACCCCGGUAGUCCUAGCUGUAAACGAUGGAUACUAGAUGUUGCGUACUUUAUAGUAUGCAGUGUCGUAGCUAACGCGUUAAGUAUCCCGCCUGGGAAGUAUGCGCGCAAGCGUGAAACUCAAUGGAAUUGACGGGGGCCCGCACAAGCGGUGGAGCAUGUGGUUUAAUUCGAUGCAACACGAAGAACCUUACCAGGACUUGACAUGAAGAGAAGUUUUUUGAAAGAAAAAUGCGCUACGGCCUCUUACACAGGUGGUGCAUGGCUGUCGUCAGCUCGUGUCGUGAGAUGUUGGGUUAAGUCCCGCAACGAGCGCAACCCUUGUUUCUAGUUGAAUCUCUAGAAUGACUGCCGAUUAUAAAUCGGAGGAAGGUGAGGAUGACGUCAAGUCAUCAUGCCCCUUACGUCCUGGGCUACACACGUGCUACAAUGGAUGUGACAAAAAGUUGCCAGUUCGCGAGAACGAGCUAAUCUCCAAACACAUCCCCAGUUCAGAUUGUAGGCUGCAGCUCGCCUACAUGAAGGUGGAAUCGCUAGUAAUCGCAGGUCAGCUAUACUGCGGUGAAUCCGUUCCCGGGCCUUCUACACACCGCCCGUCACACCAUGGGAGCUGGUUAUACCCGAAGUUGUUAUCCUAACCUUUUGGAGGGAGGCACCUAAGGUAGAAUUGGUGACUAGGGUGAAGUCGUAACAAGGUAACC
rnacentral:rRNA from 1 species